UACGUAGGGUGCAAGCGUUGUCCGGAAUUAUUGGGCGUAAAGAGCUCGUAGGCGGUUUGUCGCGUCUGCUGUGAAAUCCCGGGGCUCAACCUCGGGCCUGCAGUGGGUACGGGCAAACUAGAGUGUGGUAGGGGAGAUUGGAACUCCUGGUGUAGCGGUGGAAUGCGCAGAUAUCAGGAAGAACGCCGAUGGCGAAGGCAGAUCUCUGGGCCAUUACUGACGCUGAGGAGCGAAAGCGUGGGGAGCGAACAGG
rnacentral:rRNA from 1 species